UAUCUCUUUUCGUCCUUUUUCUUCCUCUUCCCUUCUGUUUGCCUCUCCUCCUCUUUCCACAAAAUUUCGUGGUCGUUGGACGUAUGUGAAGGUAGAUCUCGCUUUCUAAAAAAUCUUGCUUUUGGAUUCCUUUUUCCGACGAUAGCGACGAUGAUUUGUGGCGUGUAAUUUCUCGGUGUGGGUGUUUAUUAGGCCAGAGCGGUAUUUUCAGUUUGUUUUGCUCGGUGUAAUGAUCGGACACAGCGUAUCGAGUUCGUAGGUAUCUCAUCGGAUGCUCGCCGGAAAGUUGGGGGAAGGGGGGGCCUAAAUCGUGAGCGGCCCAACCCGAGUGGCCAACCCGUGGGUGGGCCAAAGGGCACGGCCCGACCCAACCGGGGCGGUCUGGCUCAAUUAGGACGUGAACUCAAAUAAAAAGUGUUGCAAUUCGGAAGUGGAGCUUAACGUAGCGAUCUAGGCAGAGGCACACGUGGGCUGUUGACUAUAGAGAGUCUCAUCACACUUGAGUCUGGAGUUCCUUUGUACUUACCUUUAAAUCUUAUAUUUAAUGUAUUUUAAAUAGUUUCAUUAUUAUU